rnacentral:rRNA from 1 species
UACGUAGGCAGCGAGCGUUGUUCGGAGUUACUGGGCGUAAAGGGCGCGUAGGCGGCCACCGCAAGUCGACUGUGAAAUCUCCGGCUUAACCCGGAAAGGUCAGCCGAUACUGCGGGGCUAGAGUGCAGAAGGGGCAACUGGGAAUUCUCGGUGUAGCGGUGAAAUGCGUAGAUAUCGAGAGGAACACCUGCGGCGAAGGCGGGUUGCUGGGCUGACACUGACGCUGAUGCGCGAAAGCUAGGGGAGCGAACGGG